AUUGAACGCUGGCGGCAGGCCUAACACAUGCAAGUCGAACGAGUGGCGGACGGGUGAGUAAUGUCUGGGAAACUGCCUGAUGGAGGGGGAUAACUACUGGAAACGGUAGCUAAUACCGCAUACCAUCGGAUGUGCCCAGAUGGGAUUAGCUAGUAGGUGGGGUAAAGGCUCACCUAGGCGAACAUCCCUAGCUGGUCUGAGAGGCUGAACAGACAAACUGGAACUGAGACACGGUCCAGACUCAUACUGGAGGCAGGAGUGGGGAAUAUUGCACAAUGGGCGCGAGCCUGAUGCAGCCAUGCCGCGUGUAUGGAGAAGGCCUUCGGGUUGUAAAGUACUUUCAGCGGGGAGGCGUUACCCGCAGAAGAAGCACCGGCGAACUCCGUGCCAGCAGCCGCGGUAUUC
rnacentral:rRNA from 1 species